GACGGAGGGGGCGAGCGUUGUCCGGAAUUACUGGGCGUAAAGGGCGCGUAGGCGGGCGUGUACGGCGGUGGUGAAAGCUCCCGGCUUAACUGGGAGAGGCCCUCCGCAACGGCACGUCUCGAGGGUGGUAGAGGCAGAUGGAAUUCCAGGUGUAGCGGUGAAAUGCGUAGAGAUCUGGAGGAACACCCGUGGCGAAGGCGGUCUGCUGGGCCAUGCCUGACGCUGAAGCGCGAAGGCCAGGGGAGUGAAC
rnacentral:rRNA from 1 species